ACUCAAAGGAAUAGACGGGGGCCCGCACAAGCGGUGGAGCAUGUGGUUUAAUUCGAUGCUACGCGAAAAACCUUACCCGGACUUGAAAUCCCGUGCUACCCAGGGAAACUUGGGGUUCUCUUCGGAGACGCGGUGACAGGUGCUGCAUGGCUGUCGUCAGCUCGUGUUGUGAGAUGUUGGGUUAAGUCCCGCAACGAGCGCAACCCUCGUCUUUAGUUGCCAUCAUUAAGUUGGGCACUCUAAAGAGACCGCUGGCCUAUAAGGCAGAGGAAGGUGGGGAUGACGUCAAGUCCUCAUGGCCCUUAUGUCCGGGGCUACACACGUGCUACAAUGGGAGGUACAAAUCGUCGCCAACUCGCAAGAGUGAGCUAAUCGCAAAAAACCUCCCUCAGUUCGGAUUGAAGUCUGCAACUCGACUUCAUGAAGCUGGAAUCGCUAGUAAUCGCGGAUCAGCACGCCGCGGUGAAUACGUUCCCGGGCCUUGUACACACCGCCCGU
rnacentral:rRNA from 1 species